rnacentral:rRNA from 1 species
GAUGAACGCUGGCGGCGUGCCUAAUACAUGCAAGUCGAGCGAACGGACGAGAAGCUUGCUUUUCUGAUGUUAGCGGCGGACGGGUGAGUAACACGUGGAUAACCUACCUAUAAGACUGGGAUAACUUCGGGAAACCGGAGCUAGUACCGGAUAAUAUUUUGAACCGCAUGGUUCAAAAGUGAAAGACGGUCUUGCUGUCACUUAUAGAUGGAUCCGCGCUGCAUUAGCUAGUUGGUAAGGUAACGGCUUACCAAGGCAACGAUGCAUAGCCGACCUGAGAGGGUGAUCGGCCACACUGGAACUGAGACACGGUCCAGACUCCUACGAGAGGCAGCAGUAGGGAAUCUUCCGCAAUGGGCGAAAGCCUGACGGAGCAACGCCGCGUGAGUGAUGAAGGUCUUCGGAUCGUAAAACUCUGUUAUUAGGGAAGAACAUAUGUGUAAGUAACUGUGCACAUCUUGACGGUACCUAAUCAGAAAGCCACGGCUAACUACGUG